rnacentral:misc_RNA from 1 species
UAAUAAGUGUUUUAUGGCACUUUUUAAAUCCAUAUCCACCUGUGUGCAAUGUCAGUCGAUCUUCUUCAUGGAGAUCGGCCAAACAUCAACCUUUAUCUUUUAACUCUUUGUCUGAAAAAUAUUAUGAAUAAACAAUUCAAAAUA